GUGUUCGCUUUGGCAGCACAUACACUAAAAUUGGAAUGAUACAGAGAGGAUUAGCAUGGCCCCUCACCAAGGAUGACCUGCAAAUUCAUGAAACAUUCCAUAUUAAA
ensembl:snRNA U6 U6 spliceosomal RNA